rnacentral:lncRNA from 1 species
GUGUAUUGCAUCACACGUAAAGCUAUAUAUGAAGGUGCAUAUUUUCAUCAGCACUUUUAAAUAACAUUUCAGCGUUGAUCCUUAAAUCUUUAAUAACAAACUCAUCAUAAAUACCAAGAUUCAAAUUUUAUAUAUGCGCACGACGCGCUUUACAUCUACAAAACACUCACCAGUGACGCUUGAAUAAAAAAAAAUGAGAAAAGGCCAAAUAAAGUACGAAGUUUUAGAGCAUUGAUGACCAAAAAUUCCUAAAACUUUUUGAAAAAUACAGCUAAGGUAACCUAUUUCUGUUCAGUAAAGCCUUAGUAUUUCAAAAAACAAAUAAAGUUUUGUGAACAGUUAAUUUAUAGUUAUGACCAUAUCAAUGACAGGUCUUGCAGGG